rnacentral:rRNA from 1 species
UACGUAGGGGGCUAGCGUUGUCCGGAAUCAUUGGGCGUAAAGCGCGUGUAGGCGGUUCGGUAAGUCCGCUGUGAAAGUCGGGGGCUCAACCCUCGGAUGCCGGUGGAUACUGUCGGACUAGAGUACGGAAGAGGCGAGUGGAAUUCCUGGUGUAGCGGUGAAAUGCGCAGAUAUCAGGAGGAACACCGAUUGCGAAGGCAGCUCGCUGGGACGUUACUGACGCUGAGACGCGAAAGCUAGGGGAGCGAACAGG